rnacentral:misc_RNA from 1 species
GAUGAAGAACGUAGCGAAAUGCGAUAAGUAAUGUGAAUUGCAGAAUUCAGUGAAUCAUCGAAUCUUUGAACGCACAUUGCGCCCGCCAGUAUUCUGGCGGGCAUGCCUGUUCGAGCGGCAUUACAACCCUCAGGCCCCCGGGCCUGGCGUUGGGGAUCGGCGGAAGCCCCCUGUGGGCACACGCCGUCCCUCAAAUACAGUGGCGGUCCCGCCGCAGCUUCCAUUGCGUAGUAGCUAACACCUCGCAACUGGAGAGCGGCGCGGCCAUGCCGUAAAACACCCAACUUCUGAAUGUUGACCUCGAAUCAGGUAGGAAUACCCGCUGAACUUAAGCAUAUCAAUAAGCGGAGGA